AUACGGAGGGUCCGAGCGUUAAUCGGAAUUACUGGGCGUAAAGCGUACGUAGGUGGCUUGAUUAGUCGGAUGUGAAAGCCCCGGGCUUAACCUGGGAAUUGCAUUCGAUACUGUCAGGCUAGAAUGUAGUAGAGGGAAGCGGAAUUCCGGGUGUAGCGGUGAAAUGCGUAGAUAUCCGGAGGAACAUCAGUGGCGAAGGCGGCUUCCUGGACUAACAUUGACGCUGAGGUGCGAAAGCGUGGGGAGCAAACAGGAUUAGAAACCCCAGUAGUCC
rnacentral:rRNA from 1 species